UACGUAGGGGGCAAGCGUUGUCCGGAAUCAUUGGGCGUAAAGCGCGUGUAGGCGGCCAGGUAAGUCCGUUCUGAAAGCCCGGGGCUCAACCCCGGGAGGCGGAUGGAUACUGCUUGGCUCGAGUCCGGAAGAGGCGAGUGGAAUUCCCGGUGUAGCGGUGAAAUGCGCAGAUAUCGGGAGGAACACCAAUGGCGAAGGCAGCUCGCUGGGACGGUACUGACGCUGAGACGCGAAAGCGUGGGGAGCAAAC
rnacentral:rRNA from 1 species